UUAUCACUUCAGCGACUAGAAGAAACUUUUCACCACUAAAGAAACAAUCAACUUACCGGCCACGAUAACUGGAGACGUUACGGGAGAGACUCAAUCGAAGGGUCAUCUUUAACGAUGUCAGGAUUUGUCAUUGAAUGCGUAUCCAUUACUUCUUCUGGGUGAAUCUUCGACUAUAAAAAGGACUGAGUUCGGAUACGAGUCGACCGAUUGGCUCGAUAGAUGUAGCUUCACAGUCUCUGGGUCGUAGAACGCUGCUACGAAGAAACGUUCCUGGCUGAAGCUUGUGGAAGACAUCUAAAUCCGUAUACGUACUUCGUUUGAGGUAAUCUGUGGACCUGUAACCAAUCCUCCAUCUCCCUGGCUACAAAGGUUUCUGGGGAUUUUGGAGAAAAUAGAGGAGCUGAGCUAUGGUGGAAAAGUUAGAAGCUUUCAGAAAUGCAAGUUUACCCUGAUUCCUUUAUUGUUUACAUAAGUCUCCACAAUUACUUUGCUAUAUUUACUCUCAAUUCUUGGACCUUUGACUUUCCUUACUUCAUUGCACCGCAGACUGCUGAGUGGUGCUCAGGUAUAUGCUACCAAUACAAUCUCUAUAUUAUGGACUGUGUUUUGAUGAGUUGUCGCUGUCACUGUGAGGUUUACUCUUGAGAUUGCAUUGUAUUUCCACUUUUUCCAGGCUAUUUGUUCAUCGUAUUUCAGUAGAAGCUUUUACGUUGUACAUGUAAAUGAGACAGGCUACCAGCUACAUUGGUGACAAUAAGCUAAAGGCGGAUUCAAACCACCUAGCCAAAGAAAAAACUUGAAUCUUUUGGUCUGACAGUGGAUUUGAUGGGUGGGUUUGACAAAUGGCAUGAGUGUUUCUAGAGCUUGAAAACCCAUCUAAUCUGAAGUAUACUAGGACCUAAGGAGUCUAACGUUAUUUCUACGAACCUUAGCAAGAAUGUAAAAUAGUCUCGGGUUUUUAAUGGACUACGGGAACAAGGAUUGAGUUCAUAAGUCUGUGAUUACAUUCAUGCGAUCUUCUUGAAGGUAGUACGUUCUCUGUAUCUGUUAGUAAUAUAUACUAACUCCAACGACUAUUUUACUUUGGUCCAUUGUUGUAGACAGAUUGAGGUGACAAACACGGCCAUAGCAUCGUUGGAAAAAAAAUGCGGGAGGGAAGGAAGAUAGCCACAUUGCAGCUGGUGCACAUGGAGUGUAAUUACCUUAUUGUUUACUACUUCAAGAAGCUUCUCGGAAAGUAAGAUAGCCACGUUGCAGCUGGUGGACAUGGAGGGCAAUUAACUUACUGUUGAUUUCUUCAAGAAGCUUCUACAGCUUGGAGAAUGCCCACUGUUUUGUUCGGUUGUAGUCGGUGGUUCAGACCCGGAGGAAACUUCUAUGUAAUUUAAUUUUUGUGAGAUGAUCUACCCGGGAAGACAUCAUGCCGUAUUUAUUUUACUACAACAACACAGUUUGUUCUGAUGACUCUUUCUUUGUCUGCGCUUUUGACCAUUAAUUACCU